rnacentral:tRNA from 1 species
GCCAGUGUGGUGUAGUGGUGUGAGUGUUAGGCUGCGACUCUAGAGACCAGGGUUUGAAUCCCAGUUCGACA